AAAUUGAAGAGUUUGAUCAUGGCUCAGAUUGAACGCUGGCGGCAGGCCUAACACAUGCAAGUCGAACGGUAACAGGAAGCAGCUUGCUGCUUUGCUGACGAGUGGCGGACGGGUGAGUAAUGUCUGGGAAACUGCCUGAUGGAGGGGGAUAACUACUGGAAACGGUGGCUAAUACCGCAUAACGUCGCAAGACCAAAGAGGGGGACCUUCGGGCCUCUUGCCAUUAGAUGUGCCCAGAUGGGAUUAGCUUGUUGGUGAGGUAACGGCUCACCAAGGCGACGAUCCCUAGCUGGUCUGAGAGGAUGACCAGCCACACUGGAACUGAGACACGGUCCAGACUCCUACGGGAGGCAGCAGUGGGGAAUAUUGCACAAUGGGCGCAAGCCUGAUGCAGCCAUGCCGCGUGUAUGAAGAAGGCCUUCGGGUUGUAAAGUACUUUCAGCGGGGAGGAAGGUGUUG
rnacentral:rRNA from 1 species